GGAGAAGUACCCAAGAGGUCGAAGGGGCUCCCCUGCUAAGGGAGUAGGCUCUGCGAAGGGGCGCCGGGGUUCAAAUCCCCGCUUCUCCGCCA
rnacentral:tRNA from 1 species